AAACUUGCGCAGUGGCGAUAUCGUAAUCAAUGAUGUUCUACUGAGAUGCGAUUAACGCUAGUUGAAAAUUAUUAUGCUGUUGAGUCUACUAAUUAUUACAGACGUUUUUGACUUAUUUCCUACCAAUAAAU
rnacentral:snRNA from 13 species